rnacentral:rRNA from 1 species
UACGGGGGGGGCAAGCGUUGUUCGGAAUUACUGGGCGUAAAGGGCUCGUAGGUGGCCAACUAAGUCAGACGUGAAAUCCCCAGGCUUAACCUGGGAACUGCGUCUGAUACUGGAUGGCUUGAAUUCGGGAGAGGGAUGCAGAAUUCCAGGUGUAGCGGUGAAAUGCGUAGAUAUCGAGAGGAACACCAGUGGCGAAGGCGAGUCCCUGGACAAAACCUGACACUGAGGCACGAAAGCCGGGGGAGCAAACAGG